rnacentral:rRNA from 1 species
GGCAGCAGCCACAUCGACCUGCACCUCAAAACAGAAGCUCAGCAGGUGUGAGCCUGUCCAGUAGCUGGAUGGGAGACUCCUGGGAAAGCUAAGGUUGCUGCUGGAA